rnacentral:rRNA from 1 species
GAUGAACGCUGGCGGCGUGCUUAACACAUGCAAGUCGAACGAUGAAGCCCAGCUUGCUGGGUGGAUUAGUGGCGAACGGGUGAGUAACACGUGAGUAACCUGCCCUUAACUCUGGGAUAAGCCUGGGAAACUGGGUCUAAUACCGGAUAGGAGCGUCCACCGCAUGGUGGGUGUUGGAAAGAUUUAUCGGUUUUGGAUGGACUCGCGGCCUAUCAGCUUGUUGGUGAGGUAAUGGCUCACCAAGGCGACGACGGGUAGCCGGCCUGAGAGGGUGACCGGCCACACUGGGACUGAGACACGGCCCAGACUCCAACGGGAGGCAGCAGUGGGGAAUAUUGCACAAUGGGCGCAAGCCUGAUGCAGCGACGCCGCGUGAGGGAUGACGGCCUUCGGGUUGUAAACCUCUUUCAGUAGGGAAGAAGCGAAAGUGACGGUACCUGCAGAAGAAGCACCGGCUAACUACGUG